AAAAAGAAAAGAGUUAAGUAAGAGUUUAAAUAGAGAGGGAAAGAAAGAGUUAAAAAUAUUUAGGAUGGAGUAGGUAGAAGCCUAAAAGAAGUAAAUAGAGAGGGAAAGAAAGAGUUAAAAAUAUUUAGGAUGGAGUAGGUAGAAGCCUAAAAGAAGUAUAUUAAAUAGGUAUCAAUGCAUGCAGAAGUAAUAACAUUUAAACCAAGACACAUAACAGAGCAAACUUGUCAUAAGAUGCAAAACAAAGAGUAAAAACAAGAGAAGAAAAAAACAUUGACAAAUAGAAUAAUAUAAAAGAAGAUAAAAAAAAGAAGACAAUAACAAAAUAAAAUCAAGGAAAGGAGAAACUAGAGCAUACAAAUCCAACACUAUAGGGUCCUAAGCUAUUUCGAGCUUCUUACUCCAUCUGGUCUAUAGAGCCUCCAUCAACCUAGCCUCCUGCACAUUUUCAACAAUACCUUUUUGAAGGAAAAGUUCAAAAAGAACUCUUGCAAAAGGUAUGAUAGAAGAUACUUCAUCGUGGGAGGCAAUAAUAGUAUUCCUUAAGAAAUUGAAGAUUGUGAGGGGAAGGUUAUCCCUAAUCCUAGGUGAGAUGAAAAAGAUAAGAUGCUUGUCAAUAUAAGUGAGUGUUUCUAGCGUAUCUUCUCAUGACUGAAAGUUUGACACCAGCUGUUGAUGCCAGAUCUCUGCCUUGGGAUGAAAAAAGGAGACACUUGUGAGGUUGUCCUUGGUGGCAAGGAUCUUAUUUGGAAUUAUGUCAAUGAAUGGACUUGUCCUUGGGUACAUGUCCAUAUGAACCCUAACAUCCCCGCAUAAGAUUGUCUUAGCAAUCAGAGCAGGAGUUAGAGUGAUGGGAAUUUAAAAAAUAAUAGACUUAAUGGACAAAGUAUCUUGUUAAUAUGCAAGAGGGGCACAUUAGUCCAGAAUUUUCUAAUGAGAAUUGGAUAGAUGGGUUCUUUAAGAAUGUUAAAAUAAUUCUCCUACUUUAGGGAACAAAUAUGACUCAGAAGAUCAAGACCAUGAUCCCUAAAUUAGUUGAAGUCAACAAAAUUUUCAGAAGCAAUGGUGAGGGGCAGGUUACUCAACAAACAAAAGACAUGUUUGAGAUUUUAAAAAGAUGAAGGAAGAUGAAUCUUUUUAGAAAGUGAUUUUAGUAAGAGUGGGAUGAGAUGAAAAAGAAAAGAGUUAAGUAAGAGUUUAAAUAGAGAGGGAAAGAAAGAGUUAAAAAUAUUUAGGAUGGAGUAGGUAGAAGCCUAAAAGAAGUAUAUUAAAUAGGUAUCAAUGCAUGCAGAAGUAAUAACAUUUAAACCAAGACACAUAACAGAGCACCCUUGUCAUAAGAUGCAAAACAAAGAGUAAAAACAAGAGAAGAAAAAAACAUUGACAAAUAGAAUAAUAUAAAAGAAGAUAAAAAACAAGAAGAC
rnacentral:lncRNA from 1 species